rnacentral:rRNA from 1 species
CCUGACGUAGACGCUAUUCCCUAAGAUUAACCCAUGCAUGUUUUUGAAGAUUAUUAUCUGAAAAAUGGACUGCUCAGUAAUACUCACUUUAUUUUAUGUGCACCGCAGAUAACUACGUUAAAGUGUAGAUAACAUGUGUACAGUAAGAGUGAGACCUAUCAGCUAGUUGUUAAGGUAAUGGCUUAACAAGGCAGUGACGGGUAACGGUAUUACUUUGUAAUAUUCCGGAGAAGGAGCCUGAGAGACGGCUACUAAGUCUAAGGAUUGCAGCAGGGGCGAAACUUGACCUAUGGAUUUUAUCUGAGGCAGUUAUGGGAAGUAAUAUAUUAUUGUUUCAUAUUUUAAAAAUAUAUGAGGUGAUUAAUUGGAGGGCAAAUCAAGUGCCAGCAGCCGCGGUAAUACUUGUUCCAAGAGUGUGUAUGAUGAUUGAUGCAGUUAAAAAGUCCGUAGUUUAUUUUU